UACGUAGGGUGCGAGCGUUAAUCGGAAUUACUGGGCGUAAAGCGUGCGCAGGCGGUUUUGUAAGCCAGGUGUGAAAUCCCCGGGCUCAACCUGGGAAUGGCAUUUGGGACUGCAAGGCUGGAGUGCGGCAGAGGAGACUGGAAUUCCUGGUGUAGCAGUGAAAUGCGUAGAUAUCAGGAGGAAUACCGAUGCGAAGGCAGGUCUCUGGGCUGACACUGACGCUCAUGCACGAAAGGCGUGGGGAGCAAAC
rnacentral:rRNA from 1 species